rnacentral:rRNA from 1 species
AACGGCUGGCGGCGUGCCUAACACAUGCAAGUCGAGCGAGGAGAGUCCUUCGGGAUGAUCCGUAGCGGCGGACGGGUGAGUAACACGUGGGCAACCUGCCUCAUAGAGAGGAAUAGCCUUCCGAAAGGGAGAUUAAUACCUCAUAACAUUGCAGUUUCGCAUGGAACAGCAAUUAAAGGAGUAAUCCGCUAUGAGAUGGGCCCGCGGCGCAUUAGCUAGUUGGUGAGGUAACGGCUCACCAAGGCGACGAUGCGUAGCCGACCUGAGAGGGUGAUCGGCCACAUUGGGACUGAGACACGGCCCAAACUCCUACGGGAGGCAGCAGUAGGGAAUCUUCCGCAAUGGACGAAAGUCUGACGGAGCAACGCCGCGUGAGUGAAGAAAAGGUUUUCGGAUCGUAAAACUCUGUUGUCAGAGAAGAACAAGUUGGAGAGUAACUGCUCCAGCCUUGACGGUAUCUGACCAGAAAGCCACGGCUAACUACGUGCCAGCAGCCGC